rnacentral:rRNA from 1 species
CCUACGGGAGGCAGCAGUGAGGAAUAUUGGUCAAUGGGCGGGAGCCUGAACCAGCCAAGUCGCGUGAAGGAAGAAGGUACUUAGUAUUGUAAACUUCUUUUGUCGGGGAACAAAGACGGAGACGCGUCUCCGGAUGAGUGUACCCGAUGAAAAAGCAUCGGCUAACUCCGUGCCAGCAGCCGCGGUAAUACGGAGGAUGCGAGCGUUAUCCGGAUUUAUUGGGUUUAAAGGGUGCGCAGGCGGUAGUUCAAGUCAGCGGUAAAAUGUCGGGGCUCAACCCCGGCCGGCCAUUUAAACUGGGUGUGUAGAGUUGGAGAGAGGUAGGCGGAAUAGG